UCUCUGUUAGUAUAUCGGUUAGUACACGCGCCUGUCAUAGUCUCUGUGGCUAAUGGCCGCGCGAAAGCGGGGUUCGACUCCCCGACAGAGAG